rnacentral:lncRNA from 1 species
UAACAUUGGCAUAUAUAUACAUGGAGAUUUUGAACACGACAGAUGUAUCUCUUUUGUAUUUUGAGUUCGACACGCCAAGUCCAAGAUGAUCUUCUAGCUAAGUCUUUUUUUUUUUUUGUGGAACCAAACUGUUUCCACCCAAAACUGUUUGAGAAUGUUCGAUUUUUACCUAUCUACAAAUCCAAUUCCCCUCUUCUUGUAUUGUAACUAAACAUACGCCAAAACCAUUUGAAACCGAUAUCUACAACUUUUUUGGUUCAUUUUUUUUUCACCUAUCUUUUUACAUAUCCAUUAGAAAUUCAUUUUGUUAAAUUCUAUUUUUAGACUUAGAAAGAUAAAUAUAUAGUCAACCCUAUUUAAUUAUUUAUUUAAACCAUAUAUAGUAGUCUGUCUGGUUAGCAUGCAGAAGCAGAACUAUGGCGAAGGGGCCACGCAAGCCUACUAAUUUGGUGGUCACACAUUCUCUCGCAAGCCAGACUAAUUUUUAGAUUUUCUUCUUCUUCUUCUUCUUCUUCUUCUGUUUUUUUUUUUGUCUGUCAUUCGAAAAUUAGUUAUAACAGAUAGAAAAGAAAAAAG